UAUUCCUACGGGACGCAGCAGUGGGGGAUAUUGCACAAUGGGGGGAACCCUGAUGCAGCGACGCCGCGUGGGUGAAGGAGUAUUUCGGUAUGUAAAGCCCUAUCGGCAGGGAAGAAGCAAGACGGUACCUGACUAAGAAGCCCCGGCUAACUACGCGCCAGCAGCCGCGGUAAUACGUAGGGGGCGAGCGUUAUCCGGAUUCACUGGGUGUAAAGGGAGCGUAGACGGCCAUGCAAGCCAGGGGUGAAAGCCCGGGGCCCAACCCCGGGACUGCCCUUGGAACUGCAUUGCUGGAGUGC
rnacentral:rRNA from 1 species